rnacentral:pre_miRNA from 1 species
AAUAAGUGCAGCCAUGGUUUUCCGCGCUCAACUUUAACCAUUCAUCUUAUUUGAAUUUUUUUUAAAAAAAAUUAAAACAUAAGUCACGAGUAAAGUACUAUUUAUGUUUUAUCAUCUUAUAACAACAAAAAUGCUAAUUAUGAAAAAAAUUCAAAUAAGAUGGACGAUCAAAGUUGAGCGCGAAAACUCAUGGCUAUACUUAUU